UACGGAGGGGGCGAGCGUUAUUCGGAAUCAUUGGGCGUAAAGGGCGCGUAGGCGGCUUCGUAAGUCUUGGGUGAAAGCCCUCGGCUCAACCGAGGAAUUGCCUUGGAUACUGCGAAGCUCGAGGCUGGAAGAGGACAGUGGAAUUCCCGGUGUAGCGGUGAAAUGCGUAGAUAUCAGGAGGAACAUCGGUGGCGAAGGCGGUCUGCUGGGCCGUUGCUGACGCUGAGGCGCGACAGCGUGGGGAGCAAACAGG
rnacentral:rRNA from 1 species